rnacentral:rRNA from 1 species
AGUGAACGCUGGCGGUAGGCCUAACACAUGCAAGUCGAACGGCAGCACAGUAAGCGCUUGCUCUUACGGUUGGCGAGUGGCGGACGGGUGAGGAAUACAUCGGAAUCUACUUUUUCGUGGGGGAUAACGUAGGGAAACUUACGCUAAUACCGCAUACGACCUACGGGUGAAAGCAGGGGAUCUUCGGGCCUUGCGCGAUUGAAUGAGCCGAUGUCGGAUUAGCUAGUUGGCGGGGUAAAGGCCCACCAAGGCGACGAUCCGUAGCUGGUCUGAGAGGAUGAUCAGCCACACUGGAACUGAGACACGGUCCAGACUCCUACGGGAGGCAGCAGUGGGGAAUAUUGGACAAUGGGCGCAAGCCUGAUCCAGCCAUACCGCGUGGGUGAAGAAGGCCUUCGGGUUGUAAAGCCCUUUUGUUGGGAAAGAAAAGCAGCAGGUUAAUACCCCGCUGUUCUGACGGUACCCAAAGAAUAAGCACCGGCUAACUUCGUG